AACACUGAGGUCCGGGUGCGCCGGAACACAGCUUCUUGGUGCCAGCACCCUGCCCGGGCAGAAUACGGCCAGUCCUCACAGGAUGACGGCGCUCGCUCUGUCUCCCUCCUGUGCUCUGUCCACUCAGGAGCCUGCCUGUAUCCAGGAGUCGGAGAUUUCGCUUUCUUCCGAAGACCAUCCCUGUCCCCAGGAUUUGGCCCUGUUUGCUUGCAGUGACCUGGAGACCCACCUGCUAACCAGCAUUGGCUCCCAGGAAUUGGUGACUUUCCAGGAUGUUGCUGUGGACUUCACCGAGAAGGAGUGGCCCUUGCUGGAUUCCUCUCAGAGAAAACUGUACAAAGAUGUGAUGUUGGAGAACUACAACAACCUCGCCUCCGUGGGGUACCAAGUCGGCAAACCCAGCCUCAUCUCACACUUGGAGCAAGAGGAGGAGUUGCGGACAGAGGAGAGGGAAAUUCAGCCUGGCGCUUGUCCCGAUUGGGAUACUCCCUCUCAAAUCAAAUGGUCAGUCCUUAUGGAAGAUAUUUUUGGGAAGGAAGCAUCCAGUGGUGUGACAAUGGAAAGAACUAGUCUUGGAGAGAAAUCCACUGAAUAUGCUCAUCUGUUAAAAACCUUCAGUACAGGUACUCAUCUUGCUCAGCCACUGGGAAAGCAUGCCUGCAAGAGAACUUAUCACCGCCGGGAUUAUGGGGUUGCUUUUAAGAACAGGUCCCAUCUAACGCAACAUGUGAGCAUUUACAAUGGGAGAAAGAUGCAUGAAUGUCAUCAGUGCCAAAAAGCCUUCACCACAAGUGCUUCCCUUACACGGCACAGGAGGAUACACACAGGGGAGAAGCCUUAUGAGUGCAGUGACUGUGGGAAAGCAUUCAAUGAUCCCUCCGCCCUUAGGAGUCAUGCAAGAACUCACCUCACAGAGAAGCCCUUUGAUUGCAGUCAGUGUGGAAACGCAUUUCGAACCCUUUCCUCCCUGAAAAUACACAUGAGAGUUCACACUGGUGAGAGACCUUACAAGUGUGAUCAGUGUGGGAAGGCAUAUGGUAGGAGCUGCCACCUCAUUGCGCACAGAAGAACACACACUGGUGAGAGACCCUAUGAAUGUCAUGACUGUGGAAAAGCUUUCCAGCAUCCCUCACAUCUCAAAGAGCAUGUCAGGAAUCACACUGGAGAGAAGCCCUAUGAAUGCACUCAGUGUGGAAAAGCCUUCCGAUGGAAAUCUAACUUUAAUUUGCACAAGAAGAAUCACAUGGUAGAGAAAACAUAUGAAUGUAAAGAAUGUGGGAAGUCCUUUGGGGAUCUUUUGUCACGGAGAAAACACAUGCGAGUUCAUAUUGUGAAGAAGCCCGUUGAAUGUAGACAGUGUGGGAAAGCCUUCAGAAAUCAGUCCAUCCUUAAGACACACAUGAAUUCUCACACAGGGGAGAAACCUUAUGGGUGUGAUUUAUGUGGGAAAGCCUUCAGUGCAAGCUCCAACCUGACAGCACAUAGGAAAAUACACACUCAAGAGAGACGCUAUGAAUGUGCUGCCUGUGGGAAAGUUUUUAGCGAUUAUUUAUCUCGGAGGAGGCAUAUGAGUGUACAUCUGGUAAAGAAACGUGUUGAAUGUAGACAGUGUGGGAAGGCCUUCAGGAAUCAGUCAACCCUUAAGACACACAUGAGAAGUCAUACGGGAGAGAAGCCGUACGAGUGUGAUCACUGUGGGAAAGCCUUCAGCAUAGGCUCAAACCUGAAUGUGCACAGGCGGAUACACACGGGAGAGAAGCCCUAUGAAUGCCUGGCCUGUGGGAAAGCCUUCAGUGAUCAUUCUUCCCUCAGGAGUCAUGUGAAAACUCACCGAGGAGAAAAGCUCUAUGUUUCAUCAGUAUGGAAAAGGCUCCACUGACAAAUUGUAAGAGAAAUAGGUAAGCUCAGAUUGGAAGGAAACCAUAGAGGGCAGGAAGUCUUUGUUAACUUGUGGGACGCAAAAGCGUACAUGUCACUUUGGAAAGUAUGUUUGAUAAGUAGGCAAAGACUAGAGCUUUUUCUUGCUACUGUAGAGACGUGAGAACUCCCACUGGGGAAGAAAGACUGUGUCUGUAGCAUGGAGAAGCCAGCAUUCUGCAUUCUCUGACCUUAACAACAUGAGAGGUUUUGGGGAAAAACUCCUAGCUUAAUAUUUAAUGUUGAAAUGAUGCUAAUUCCACCUGUACCUUCCGGGCACAUGAACCAGCACGCUAGGGAGAAGAAUUGUACAUUCACAAUUGGAGCAAACUUUUCCUGUCUCAUAAUCCUGAAGAAGUCAAACUAAAGAGAAAGUCUAUAAAUUGGCAUGUGGGAAAGUGUCCAAAAGGGUCAGCACACUAGGGCCAGCUAUUUGUUUUUGUGUAUGACUUGUCAAAUAAGAGUCGUUUUGAAUACUUUUGAAGAAGAAAAACGUAAUGGGACCACUUGUUUCCUAAAAUACUCACUGUGCAGUCCUUUACAGAAAGCUCUGCCCAACUGUGGACUACCUAUUUGGUGGUUCCAAAUGGGUGAUUUUGUUCCUCAGGGGACAUUUGUCAAUGUCUGGAGAUGUUUAGUUUUAGGAAUGGGGUACGGGGUGCUACCAGAAGACAUGAGGCUUGCUGCUAAGUAACCUGCGUUAUGCAGGGCCCCCACUGCAGCCAGAGAUUAUGUGCCCCUAAAUGCCAGUGUAGGUGAGGUGAGGAACACAGACCCACCAUAGUCUCUCAACUUACGCUACAAUUGGCUACUUGAAACUUUAAAUACAUUCAACACAAUUCUUCUAGUAAACAACAUGAAAACUCAAACAACAGACAAUUCUACGUAGAGAUGAUUUCAGCCACAUCCCCCUCGCUUGCACUUUUGAGAAUUCACUUUCCAAUGGAAUUUUCUAGUGAAUAUGGAAUUGCAUCUGUUAGUCUUCAUCAUGAAAGUGGAUCCCAGCUUGUUAACUUUUAGCCUUUAUUUUUAAGGUUAUACUCCUCUGAUCCUUAUGUCUCAUCACAAAAGGAGAUCCAGUACCUA